GGACUACCCGGGUUUCUAAUCCCGUUCGAUACCCAUGCCUUCGUAUCUCAGCGUCAGUCUUUAAUAGUAAUAAGCUUUCGCCACUUUGCAACCCUACAAGUAUCUAAGUAUUGUUACACUCCUCUUGCCGUAUUUAUUACUCCUUUAAACUCUAGUAUAAUAAUAUAAGUUCUACUAUUACGUAUAAAAAUACAAAUUAAUUAUACCGCCUACUUACCCUUUAGACCCAUUAAAGACGAGUAACGCUUGCCUCUCACGUAUUACCGCGGCUGCUGGCAC
rnacentral:rRNA from 1 species